GAUGAAGAACGUAGCGAAACGCGAUAGUUAAUGUGAAUUGCAGAAUUCAGUGAAUCAUCGAGUCUUUGAACGCACAUUGCGCCCCUCGGCAUUCCGGAGGGCAUGUCUGUUUGAGCGUCAUUUCAACACCCUCGCUUUAAGCGGUAUUGAGGCGUGGAAUCCAUAUCAAUGGAACCAAGCUUUUAAAGUUGAAGGCAAGCAGAACGAAUGUCUUGAACAAAACAUAGUAAAAUCUUCACGGUUUCUCCUGUUUGUCCUCGAUGUUACGUCUCGCCCAAACAAUUAUUUUUUUAGUUUUGACCUCAGAUCAGACAAGGAUACCCGCUGAACUUAAGCAUAUCAAUAAGCGGAGGA
rnacentral:misc_RNA from 1 species